rnacentral:lncRNA from 1 species
GCAUCUACCACUAAUCAACUCCUUCUAACUCAGAAAUUACCUCAGGUUGCAGCUUAUACACGCGACAAGGUGCUGUCAAUUUUUCCUUCUCUCGGAUGGUUCGAAGUGCAGCCCGUUUCCUCUCCUUCUCUUAUACAGGCUGGCGGAUGAGAUGAGGGAAAGCAGCAGGUCUCUCACUUUUAUUUCUAGCAUGCGGUCAGGAGGUGAUGAAAUAGAAGGCUCGGCUCUCUCUCCCUUUCUCACUUCACUCUCUCGGACAGAACAGGAAUUGCAGCUCACACAUCUCCCUUUCUUUUCUCUUGCUCAAGCUGAGGAGCUCUCUCACUCUCUCUUCACUCUCGGUCACGGCAGAGGAGGAAAGUGGAGGGUGAAGGUGCUGUGGUGUUUUGGAGUUGGGGUAGUGAAGUGUUCAAUUCGAAAAGGAGAAUGGAACCGGCGGAGAUGGCAAGGCUUCUUCAGUCGGUGGUGGUAUUUCUAGUAUAAGGAGUUAGUUUAGUCUUUUUUUUUUUAUAAAAAUUCAAUUAGGCAUUUAAUUUAACCACGUAUUCGUUAUAUGAAGUUUUCUCGAAUCGAUUAUUUACUCCAGUCGUGUAUUUACUAUUUUCACUUAACGGGCCUUCAGAAAUUAAAUUUCGAAACGAAUUGCUUUAAAAAUAUAACUAAGCUAUGGAUACAUUUAAUUAGGCCUAAAAAGUUUGGAAAAUAAUAAUCAGAGAAAUCGGGUGAGUAAAUACUUAUUUUAGCCAGUAAAAUAGAUAAAACAAACGAAGUUUUCGAGUCCUCACAACCUACCCUCCUUAAAGAGAAUUUCGUCCUCGAAAUUCAUACCUUCUGAAAUCUCAGACGGCUCUGCACCGUGUGGUGUGUUCAUGUCAGGCGUUCUUUCAGAUGUCACUGGUCGGUUUCUCCUUCCAUUGAUUUGUCGAGGGAAAGUUCUAUUUCCUUGUGGAGCAGUAGUUUUUCGUGGAUACCUCUUUGGACAGUCACGGACUUUAUGGUGGGUACUCCCACAUCCCAUACACUUUCGUCCCUUUAACCAACAGUUUUCUUCAGUGUGAUUCGUCCUUCCACAAUAUCCACAAAUUGAACGAGGUGUUGUGACCUGACUUGCUUGCGAAGUUUUCUUUGAUCGUGUUUGUCCUACUGAAGUCCCUCGCAACAUAGUUCCUUUUGGUUCCUUUACCAUGAAUGGUGCAGGAAGUAACAGUUCUACUCCAUUCACUUCUUUUCUAACCUUGGGUAGUGGUCCAUUUUCUCCUAGGGUAUUGUCAGAUGCAUCUCUUUUCCUUGCUUGAAAAGCUCUCAGUUGCGAUUUUGUACUUUCUACCCUUUGCGCUUUUUCGAGAGCGUCACUAAACGUUUCAACCUGUGCUGCGGCAAAGGCAUCUUGGAUUUCCAAAUCUAAUCCUUGGAUAAACCGUCUUAUUUUCUUCCGUUCAGUAGCCACCAAUUCUGGGGCAUAUGUAGAUAACUUCGUAAAGCGUGUUUCAUACUCAGCUACGCUUAAAGUUCCUUGACGAAGCUUUAUAAAGUCAUAUUCUCUCUUUUCUCGGACAAGUGGGGGAAGAAAUUUCUCAUUAAAUUCACGUACAAAAUUUAUCCAAGUGCUUGGAGUUUGAUCCCUUUUCCACUUGUUUCUUAUAACAUUCCACCAGGCUCGUACUGCUCCUUCAAGUUGAAAUACAGCAAAGGUGACUUGUCUCUCCUCGGUGUAAUUUAAAGCAUCGAAUAUAUUUCUUAUAUUUUCUAACCAAUUCUCAGCCACCUCUGGAUCAGGUCCUCCAGCAAACUUAGGCAGGAAGAAUUUCUGAAACCGCUCUAAAGCUCGAUCCUCCCCUAUUUCUUGGUUUCCCUGUCCAACACCUUGACCUUGUUGAGCUACUAAGAGCUCUAGUAUAUCCGUCAUGCGGGUUAGAACUUGUCCUAUUUGGUCAUUUCCUCUCCCAGCACUAGGCUCGGCAUUUUGGUCAAUAUCAGAUCCAUUAUCUACUCUUUCAUUUCUGGGUUGUCUAGGUUGACGUCCCUGUCGUCGUCUCCCAGUUUCCAUUCUCACAACUAAUCUAUACAAAGAUGUGCAAAUGGCUCACUAAACUAAAAAUUAUCUAUGCACACGUAUAUUUAACAAUUUUCAAAAUGAGCAAUAAAACUAUAUCCACAGAUGACAUUUUCACAAAUAGCACAUUAACAGUUAACAUAGAAUUUAAACUAGUCUCAAUUAGGUUGCAUACCAUUACAAAAUUAGAGCUAAUCAAGUCAUAAUACAAGUUGAAAUCAAAGGUCAUUUAUCCAAAGUUUAAAAAUCUUUAGCAAGCCAGCCAAUAACUAAAGUGCAUUCAUCUCCAAGAAUAACCAACCUUGGGAUUUCUAAUUAAAGCCUCAAGUACUAUUUUCAAACUCAGAGAAUAUGUACAACUGGCUCACUUAAGCGUCAAGUGGGAACCAAGUCAAUUCGCACUAGGACUGGCCAUCUCCAGAUGCAAAUCAACUCAGUCACCACCAUUCCUCAAAGAAAAUUUCACAAAAUGUCUCACUCAAGCAAUCGAUCCAAGAUUCACAUUCAAUUUCAUACAUAUACUUACGAAGAUUACGAGCCUAGAGAAUACCUCGAAUCUUACGAUUUACCCAGUCAAAUUCGAUCUUAUAGAUAUCAGCUAGUGUCAAUGUUCAAGAAACUCAACUAUCACUUCUCAAAUCUAUUCUCACAAUUCUCUUCAGUUUCUUACAAUAUAAGAAACCCUAGUGUGCAAACCUACUUAAAAACAAACACUUCAGUAUUACUCAAUCGAUCAUCAAGUAUUAAGAUCACACUCCACUUACUAGACAAUCAAACUCCACAGUCCGGCAUCUUAUGCUUAAAGCCUAAGAUACACUACAAAGAUCUAGAGCCUAAGCUCUGAUACCAACUGUGACGAUCCCACUUCCCCCUAAGGCGAACCAAAGGGUUGGCGGGCCGCCUACCCAGCUCUCGCCGAGACUCACGCAAGAAAUCUAGCCAAAAUUCUCCCGAAGUAUAUCUUAAACUAUUACAACAUCAUUUCUCCCAAAAUAGACCAUUUACUAAAACCACAUUAACUUCAGGGAUAACAAUACGGCCGGAUAGCCAAUCGUCGAUUCUCAAACUAUCUUCCCGAUUACAAAUCAAGAAACAAGACUUACAAUUUAAAUACAUGCGUACAACCCAGAUAACAAAUCCAUACCAGCCACAUAACAAAUCCAGGAUUUACACUUUUCCAGCUUCAAGUGGCAACCCAAAACAAACGAUACAAAGACUAAUUAAAACACGACAACUUUCAAAAGAAACGAACUAGUACCACUCACAAGCACCCUUGGUCUCGAACCCUGUAAAAGAAAACCACAACGUGGAAUGAGCUACACAGCCCAGUGAGGUUCCAAGACACUCUAACCGUUCAAAUAAAUCAAGAAAGUUGGGCAUACCAUAUGCAUGGUUCCAGGUUACGCAAUGGCAUGUAUAGUUCACGAAUGAUUGGAGCUUAUUACAGGUGCGAGUAAUUAAGCAUGUUACGGUUAGGGGACAUUAACAUGGAACAGGUAUCAUGAUAUGAAUUCAUUGGACAGAUAACAGGUAUGGAGCAUAUCGCAGUUAUAGCUCAAGAUUUCACGUUGGCAUUUUAACACGAAACAAUUAUCAUGAUACAAGGUAAAUAAACACUGUAGGAUACGGUGUUCCAGUAGAACUUUAUCGGUCAUCUGCACCUUAUAACUUCUGAAUCCCCACGGUUGACUGGCCAUCACCUUAUCCCUCCAGUGAUAAUACUCGAGUAUACCGAAACGGUGUCCCAAGAUUCCAACCUACCCGACCGAGCCCAGUCCUGGCUCGAGUAGGUUAGUAACCAUGAGCAGGGCCCAGUUCAGCUUAGAGCUUACAACAUGCACAGGUAACCAAGUAAUUCGACAAAAAAAAGUAAAAUUCAUCAUUUGAAUAGGUCGAGUGAGAUAAAGUACACACUCGCCUAACAAUGAUGGACAACUUCAAAUAACAUGUGAUUCAUGAUAAACAAGUAAUCAAGUAGAUACUUAGCACGUAAGCACAUAGGCAAUACAAGUUGAUAUCAUGGAAGCAUGUAAUUCACGGGUAGCAAAUAGUCAUGUAGAUUGGAAAUCAUGUGAGCAAAUAGUCAAGUAAUCAGGUAGUCAUGUGGGUUGGUAAACGGUUAACGGUGGAGUAUUGACGGUUACUUGACAGGUAUUUGCCAUGUUAAUAGGCCAUCAUCGGCCGCUAUCCCAUUUUAAUCAUGUGAGAGUCGAGGAGAUUCACUCCAGCGACGUUACGUCCAACACUUGUAAGACAUUCACGAAAACAUUGGAUUCACGAGUCGAGGGAUUCACCAAACGACGUAACUACAUUUAGAUUCACGAGAAAAUGUUUCACGCAAGUCACCACUUGAAUGGCUAGUCUGAUAAAGUACACACUGCUCACUUCGAUGGAUCGGAAAUCAUUUUCCAAAUUGUCACAUAACGAGUCACGAAAGCACUUUAACCAAAUAACCAUAAAACAAGCAGGCUAAGCACGUAUUGAGUUUACACGGUCAUUUGAUAGGGUUAAUCAUUUAACCAAUUCAUGUCGAUAUGCAAUGCAAGUAUAUAUUUCUUAAAUAGGCACGAGUAUGGUAAAUACUUAACAAUCAUGAAAUGAGCAUGUCCUAGACUUACUCAAUUACGUAUUCCUAUAUGGAACACUCACCUAGCAACAAGGGCCUUAGGUUCAAUUUGAAGUUCAAGCGUCCACUGUCGGAUCCUCAUAAAGGUCCUCGUGUGUGCCUGAACAAAUAGUAAUAGUCUAUCAUUUACAAUCCCUACUAUUGAUAAAAAUCGUGUCAUAGUACAACUUAGGAAAAAACUCGUGAAACAAGUGUUAAUUAUUCUAAAUCGGGACUCUCAAGCGGGUUUCAAAGUACAAGAGAAAUUAAGUCCUCAUCAUGAAAAACAAGGAUAAGACAUUUGAAUAAUAUCUAAGGAACAAGGAGUACUUGAAAAACUCCAUUUCCAUGGAAUUCGGAAAAUUUUCAGUUUUGAUGCGAUACUUUGAAAAAUCGUAGCUCACCUUUUACAUGUCAAAAAUUGGAAAACUUGGUACCGUUGGAAACCUCUUGCAAAGUACUAAAAGUUCCUAAAAUACACUUUUCCAUGAUUCUAAAUGGAAGAUAGUCAAAAAAUGGCUCAAAGUUACUGUUUUGGUUCAUAAGGCAGAUUUAAGUUGAUUUUUAGCCAACUUUGGAAUUUCGGCAAAAUUCACUUGUUUGGAACUAGCUUUUGAAAUUUUCAAAUCUAUUAGUGUUGUAAUCCAAGAGUAUAACAAAACAAACGGAACGAGAAACGGGGUUUUGAGCACCAAGAUACGGUAGCUCAAAAUUACUAAAAUUCCCUUGUGAAACAUGGUUUUUUUCAAACUCGAGUCAUGAACUUUGGUAAUUUAUUUGAACCAUGAAACGGCCUCAGAAUAAAACCAUAAUUAGCAGUAUAAUACUACCAUAUAAGGGUUGUGCCUCUACCAAAUUUCAUGGAAAAAUGACUUCGGAAAGGUGGUCAAUCAAACACCUAAAAUUUCGCAAAUACUAAGACAAAACUGCCUUGAACCUUUUGUUUUUCCAUUUCAGACAUUUGGUCAAAGAAAAAUUCCUCCAAACCUGGUUCAUUUGUUUAGGCAAAAUUUAAAUAACGUUCAUGGUACAUUUGGUAAGUGUUUAGCAUCAAAAUAUUCAGUUAGCAAGUCUUUGCCAAACCUUGCAUCAAAUCUGUCUAAAAAUCAGGGUUUUCAAGGACAGAGCAGGUUUCAUAGUUUGAUCACAGAUCACUCAAAUUAACUCGGAAUUUGGCAUGGUUUAAGGCGUUGCAAAACACAUUCAUAGAGAUAUAAUGUCACAGAAGAAAUCAUUUUGAAAUUCGGCACACAACUAGCUCGAAUUCGAGUCACAAGUUGCAGCCUCGCCAUUUUGUUCUUGUAAAACAGGGAAACAGAACAGCUGACUUAAAAUAGUUGGUUUGGCUCACAUACAUGGAACCAGAAUGUACAUUUUAUAUCGUCGGAAAGGUUGGAAUGUCUAGUUUCAAAUGCCACUGACGGCACUCGAUUUCGACAUCGGAGCUCAAAAUUAUGGCCAAAAUACGGAAGCUGGUUAGAGCCUUACAAAAACAGUUGCAGAUUUACUAGCUUUGUGAAAUCAUUUUAUUUGACCAACCAAAACUCAAUAUUUUUCAAUGAAACUUUGUACACCAUAUAUUCAACAUAUAAACAUGAUAUACAAGUCAUGAAACCCUCAAAAUUCUGCAAAAAUGGGUGCGAUUAAAACAGGGCAGAUUCGUUAUCAUCACAUGUAACUCCUCAAUUUGCCCCCUUUUUAAUUUUUGUCACUUAACUCUACUAAAUUAGCACCUAAUCAACACAAGCAGCAUCAAAUCCUGGCUAAUCAGAUUAUCCAAGUCAUUGUGGGAAUUCAUAGAGCCCACUCACCAAAUUUCCAUUAAAACUCAAAGGAGUCACCAUCGGCUAGGCUGGAAAAAUUGCAGCAAAUAGAUAGUUUGGAAAACGAACUUUUCCCUAACAAAAUUCAUUACUUUGUUCACUCAAACUCAGCAUGCAUAUGGUGAUUAUUGUGUUAUGAGGUAUAUUGAACCACAAUACGAAAUUUGCAGCCAAGAUUUGAAGAGAAAAACUGGAAAUUCUUUCUUUCCCUCUCUCGGCCAACUCAACAGAUUUCCAGCAAUUAGAUUGGUCAUAAAUCCAAAUUUUCCUUCGGUUAAUUCAUGGUAUUAGGUGCUAAAAAUUAACAUGCAAAUACUUAACUAGUUGAUCAAUAUUUCUAGUUCAAAAUCGGAUUCAAACAACAGCCAUAAUCAUCCAAGAAAACCAGAAAUUCUGUUUGCUACCUUCGGAUGAGCUUGCAUGCGGCCAGAUUGUUUUUCAUUCUUAUUUUUCUAGCAUAACCGAACCAAGGGGCUGCAUGCAAAGCUUAAUUACCUUGUUCUUAAUUAGUUAAACGCAUCUAUCAGCUCAAACUACUACAAAGAGACAGAAUUAAAUCUGCAUUUUCCAAAUCAGUCCCACGGCAAAUUCCAAUUUCUUCCUAAUCAGAUUUUCUCAUGCUUUGGUUUCAUCAUCCGAGACACAAACACUUCAUGCAUGACCAUAAUUCACUGCAUCUACCACUAAUCAACUCCUUCUAACUCAGAAAUUACCUCAGGUUGCAGCUUAUACACGCGACAAGGUGCUGUCAAUUUUUCCUUCUCUCGGAUGGUUCGAAGUGCAGCCCGUUUCCUCUCCUUCUCUUAUACAGGCUGGCGGAUGAGAUGAGGGAAAGCAGCAGGUCUCUCACUUUUAUUUCUAGCAUGCGGUCAGGAGGUGAUGAAGUAGAAGGCUCGGCUCUCUCUCCCUUUCUCACUUCACUCUCUCGGACAGAACAGGAAUUGCAGCUCACACAUCUCCCUUUCUUUUCU